rnacentral:rRNA from 1 species
GACGAACGCUGGCGGCGUGCUUAACACAUGCAAGUCGAGCGGUAAGGCCCUUUCGGGGGUACACGAGCGGCGAACGGGUGAGUAACACGUGGGUGACCUGCCCUCAGCUCUGGGAUAAGCCUGGGAAACCGGGUCUAAUACUGGAUAUGACUCCAUGACGCAUGUUGUGGGGUGGAAAGCCUUGUGCGGCUGAGGAUGGGCCCGCGGCCUAUCAGCUUGUUGGUGGGGUGAGGCCUACCAAGGCGACGACGGGUAGCCGGCCUGAGAGGGCGACCGGCCACACUGGGACUGAGACACGGCCCAGACUCCUACGGGAGGCAGCAGUGGGGAACCUUGCGCAAUGGGCGAAAGCCUGACGCAGCGACGCCGCGUGAGGGAUGACGGCCUGGUGUAACU